CGAGAAGCAAGAGGGACUCAAAUUCCAGCAUAGCGAGCUUAAUGAUGUCAUUGUCUGUGAAUAUGAGCCACUGCUUCCUCAGCAAGAGAAGUCUACACUUGAGAUAUUGUUCUUCAACCUAAGAUGGAAGAGAAUCAUGGUGUUGAUGAUUGUAUGGUGUUCUUUCUUGAUCCUCCAAAUAAUCAAGAAUGAUACAAAAAUUUGCAGCCCCUUGUACUGGGUGAUCAACAUCUUACAGUUGCCGGUGGCUUUUAGCGUGUUUGGAUGGGAGGCGGCGCGGCUGUGGCGGGAGAGCCAAGCACGAAGGAUGCGUGGGGAAUGGGAAUGUGUCUGCGAGGCGACGAUUGAGUGGACAGGCCCUCAGCUUGUUUUCUGUGCCUUCUGCGGGCUGGUAGGUGGCACUGUCGGCGGUCUCCUUGGCUCUGGAGGAGGGUUUAUACUCGGUCCUCUCCUCCUCGAGAUCGGGGUCAUUCCUCAGGUCGCGAGUGCAACUGCAACAUUCGUGAUGAUGUUCUCAUCGUCUCUUUCCGUCGUGGAAUUCUACUUUCUUAAG
rnacentral:misc_RNA from 1 species